CCUGCCUCCCCGUCUUCCGCGCUAGGGCUGCCGAGAUAGCGCCACAUCCGCUAUGCCGCACGGCCAUGGCCACAAUGGUUCAACAUGGCCAGCCCGGUAAGGCAAAGACUGCGAUCCUUCAUCUGCUGAAACCACAACCUCGGGAGGAACCAGGACAACUGAUUUCGGGCAGCCGAGACGGUCGCGGGCGAAAGUUUGUGGACCAUCUGUUCUUGUUCCAUUUGGUUCAGAUUUUGGUGUUCUUCCCGUUCUCUAUUGUUUCAGAUUUAGUCUUUUGUUUUGUGCACCAGAGGAUUAGGAAGUUCAUGCAACUGGUGGUCCCUUGAGAACACUCAAUGAAAGCAUGUGUGCAACUUUGCUGUUUCUACUCGCUCAUGAAUCCUACAAGCUCUGAUCAAGAGAUUCCGAGAAAGCUUGCUCAUGGUGCUGCUGGUAGGACAGGUUCUACGCCCAGAUCAAACAUCCCAUUACCCAGUUACGACACUACAUGUGUACUGGUAGGCACUUGACCGUUUUGCCAGAUUCCCAAGUGUAGUUUUACCGUUGUCUUUUAAGAGAAUUAUUGUUGAAUUCGUUUUUUUAGUCCAGUGCCCGUUGUUCUGUGGUUAGUGUAUUCAUUUGUUCUGUUCUUGAAGGGAUAAUACUUGGAAGAACCUUGUCUUAGGGUGAAAACUUGGAAUUUACCCUUUUUGGAAAUUUUAAUCCCUAUGGAUGUUGUAUAUGUAAUGAAUACCUUGUAUCAAAUCCAGAAGUGUUUAGGGCCAGAAUCGAGAUGAGUAUUUGUGGCUCAUCUGUGAUUAACCCUUCUGUA